UACGUAGGGUGCAAGCGUUGUCCGGAAUUAUUGGGCGUAAAGAGCUCGUAGGCGGUUUGUCGCGUCGAAUGUGAAAACCCGGGGCUCAACCCCGGGCCUGCAUUCGAUACGGGCAGACUAGAGUUCGGUAGGGGAGUCUGGAAUUCCUGGUGUAGCGGUGAAAUGCGCAGAUAUCAGGAGGAACACCUAUGGCGAAGGCAGCUCGCUGGGACGUUACUGACGCUGAGACGCGAAAGCGUGGGGAGCAAACAGG
rnacentral:rRNA from 1 species